GAAGCUUUGGUGUUGAAGCUUUGUAGGUAAAGCUUUGAGGUUGAAGCUUUGUUGGGUACCAUGAAUUGAUUUUGCUUCACACUAUCUUGAUCAAGAGUGUGUGAAGCUUUUGUAGGUGAAGCUUUUGUGUUGAAGCUUUGUAGGUGAAGCUUUUGUGGGUGAAGCGUUUGUAGGUGAAACUUUUGUUGGGUACCAUGAAUUGAUUUUGCUUCACACUAUCUUGAUCAAGAUAGUGUGAAGCUUUUGAGAAUUUGUAGUUGCCCUCCAUUUGUUGAAGCUUUUGUGGUGAAGCUUUGUAGGUGAAGCUUUGUUGGGUACCAUUAAUUGAUUUUGCUUCACACUGUCUUGAUCAAGAGUGUGUGAAGCUUUUGAGAACUGUGGUUGAACUCCUUUGAUGAAGCUCUUGUUGGCACCAUAAAUUGGUUUUGCUUCAUACUAUCUUGAUCAAGAGUAUGUGAAGCUUUUGAGAAUUAUAGUUGCCCUCCAUUAAUGAAGCUCUUGUUGGCACCAUAAAUUGGUUUUGUUUCACACUGUCUUGAUCAAGAGUAUGUGAAGCUUUUGAGAAUUGUGGUUGCCCUCCAUUGAUGAAGCUCUUGUUGGCACGAUAAAUUGGCUUUGCUUCACACUGUCUUGAUCAAGAGUGUGUGAAACUUUUGAGAAUUGUGGUUGAACUCCUUUGAUGAAGCUCUUAUUGGCACUAUAAAUUGGUUUUGCUUCACACUGUCUUGAUCAAGAGUGUGUGAAGCUUUCUACUAGUUGUAGUGUUUGCAUUGUUACAAAGGAGAAAUGUCUGAAGCAGAUGCAAGAGGGCUGAAUAGCUUGAUCUUCGUAUGCCAUGCACUGAAGUUGUUGUUGGCUUGCAAUAAGACUUUGUUGGUGACUAUAACUCUUGUUGGGCAUAAGUGCUCCCCUAGUUGAGUUGUCAAGCUUGAGGGUUUUUGAUUAUAUGUGAAUGCUAGGAGAUCACAUGUACAAGUUGUACCACUCAUCUUCUGGUAGGUGGAAUGAAUGGUGAGUUGCUUGCAUCACUUGGUUAGUGGUACGAAGGUGAGUUCAUUCAUCACCUUUCAUCACAUUUCAUCACCUGGUUGGUGGCAUGAAGAUGAGUGAUGCGAUGAAAGUUAAGCACUCAAAUUAAACCCUCUUUUUGUCAAAUUGUAAUAAUAAUGCAAAUAGGGAUCGUUUUAAACCGGGGAUUAGGAGGGCUUGCUAAAACCUCUAAACUAACUCAAAAACAUAAAAACAAAGUUAAAAACAUUUGAAUAGACUUAAAGAACUCAAAACAGGUUCACAAGACUCAAAAUAACUUAAAGACACUCAAAACUGCCUAAAAACACAAACUAGGCAGUUUCUGACUCUAACACAACUUUGGACAAAUUUGGGUUUUGACUUGACUCAAAACACUCUAAAACACAAACAAAACAGAUUUUAAACACUUUGAAACAAGAAAGUAAAAGGGGAAUUUUAGUUUUGAUGAAUUUGAAACAAACAAACAAGUUAUAAAACUAGGCAGAUUGUAAAACGAAUUUAAGAAAUAAGAUGAUGGAUGGAUUAGUUAGAGGUCUGUUCUCCACACAUGACACACUUGUUUAUGAAUUGAUUUCCAAUUGCUUUUCAAUAAACUAUGAUGCUCAACACCCCAGAUUAACCGCGAUGCACAAAUUAACCCUCAGAUUUUCCUUUACUCAUUGAAUUGGAUGAAUGCAUGCGACAACCUAAAUCAUUCUCUAAAAGUCCCCUAUAUGAAUGCAUAAUAAAGAUACAAUCAAAGAUCAUUACGUUCAAUGAAAAUCAUAAGUGUUGACGAGGCAAUUAUAACUAUGAAUGCAUGAUACAAUUGCCAAGAAUUCAAUUAACGCGAUUGUGAUAAACAACCUUCACUACUCAUGAAUAUAAACUUGUAACGAUUAGGUGAAACUCAUUUAUAUUCUAGCAUCUAAUUCAUGCAUGAAAACUAAGUAUGCAUCCUUAAUAAACAUACAAGAAUUAGUUAUGAAUAAAAUAGAUAAUUGAAUUGCAAUCACAACUUAUCAAAUCACAUUUGGAAGAAAUCAAUUCAAAUCUCAAGCAUGUUCAUGGCUUCAAACUUCCCCCUAACUAAAUAGGGGUUUAGCCACUCAUAAUUGCAACAAAAUUAGAAAAUAACAAAGCAGACAUUGAAAGCAAGAACGAAGUACACCUAAAACGCUCCGAAGUUCCAAGCUUGAAACGCCAAGGACCUUUGUCUUCACCACCUUGUUGUAGCACAAGUGUCUAGGAUGUGUAUGGAUAUAUGGAUGGAAUGGAUUUGCACGGCUAAGAGAUGAAACUGUAUGGAUUGGUGAAAUGUAGUAUGGCUAGAUGAAUGGAUGGAGGUCACUACAAGGAAAUUGUGUUUGUGAAUGAAGCUCUUUUGAUGGAUCAAGAUUGUUUUUAGGAAGGGGAAUGGUGGAUGUAUUUAUAGGCUAAGGAGAGGACCACUUCAAUUCCUUGCAUGUGCAGUUUGUAUGGGUGUGUGAUGUCCAUGUUUCCCUUUACAUUUGCACACACAUGACCUCCAUCAUUUCAGCCACAAAUCAACCCAUUUUCUGCCCAUGUGUGUGUGUUUCCUUUGCCCAUGUAUGUGUGUUUUUCCUUUGCAUUUGCACACACAUAUUCUUCAUUAUUUCAGCCAACAAUCCACCCAUUUUCUGCCCAUGUCAAACUGUCCAUGCCAUGCCUUUCUCUUUGCGUGUGUGCUGUCCAUGUUUCUUCCAUGUGCCUUGUUCAUCUUCUAGCUGUGCAUUUCCACUUGCUCCAAAGCCAAAUGAGUGCAAUCAUAACCCCAUUUGCUGCUGAGUGUUGAUGACAAAGCAAAACACAAAACAAGUGCCUUUACUUUCUCACUUUAUUAGCCAAAUCUGUUUAGCCCUUUUCUGAACCUUUUAGUGUUACAAUGCCCAUAACUUCUUCUAGAAAAAUUAUAUUAACAAUCCGUAAAUUUUUGCAGAAAAUAGACAUCCGUAGCUUUCCAAGCAUAUAAGGCUCAUUCUCUCAUUCAUUCUGAGCUGUUCGUAACAUGCUUCCAAAGUCAGCUAACUGCACAGGCAGUUUUGACGAAUUUGUUACUUAAUAACUCACUUGUGCUACUUUUCUUUUCUUUGCUUGAUAAAUCACACAAAACACAAAAACAUAGUAAAUAGCUCAAAAAUAUAAGGAACUAACUAAGAAAAGACAAGUGAAUUUUACGUAAAAUAUAUAUAAAUAUGAGCUUAUCAAAUACCCCCACACUUAGCUUUUCCUAGUCCUCGAGCAAAAUAAAGAAAACAAAACACAACUUAAACCUUCCAACGUUUGCCUCAGGGAUUUCCAACGCACAUGACAAGUUAAAAAUCAUCAUUCCCACAGAUUUUGUCAACUUAAAACUUGAGCACAUACUUAAUCACAGUCACCACUUACUAGUUCACAUUUAACCAAUUAAAACGAUGUUUUGAAUGUAGUAACAUGCCUUAGAGAAUUUGCUCAAUUCCUUACAAGAUAUGCACUCAAUUUUCACUCAGAUUUUCUGACUACACACCCUACACUAGGUACAUGUGAGAAGAUUGAUGUAAACAUGAAAACUAGUACUCACAUAUAUGUAUAACAAGAAAGCAUAGUAGUUGGAGAUACGCUGCUUGUAGGCGACAUUCCUCAAGUAAGCCUGGUUUCUGUGUUCCUCGACUAGAUCUAAGUUGAGGGUAAGUUGUUUAUCAUUUUCACUUUGCACGUAGUUCUGGACUCGGAACGUUGCUUGCUCAAGCUCAACUGGGACAACUGCCUCUAUACCAAAGGCAAGUGAGAAUAGGGUUUCUCCUGUUGAUGUUGAAGGAAAUUUUGUGAAAAACAUGUUCAUUUAAGCAACAUCUAUAGCAUGCAAUUAACAAUUAAAAGGCGGAAUCAUGCUUGAAUGCACUCAAAACAAAACAUUACCCAUGAAAUUCAAAGCCUAAUAGAUUGGUGAACCAAGACUCAACUCAAAACAAAGUGAGUUGAGAUAUUUAUACCUUUGUAGAUACCUCUUUGCAUAAGCAAAGGCUAAUCACCCAAAGAGAGGGCCUUCAUUCCUUGCAUCUUAGAUCUAUGGAUUUGGAUGGAUGAAAUGGUUCUCCAAGUUCCCAAAAUUGAGAACCUCUAAGUCUCUACACCAAGGUUAGAUUGGAGAAGAAAUGAGUGACCUUGGAGGAGUUGGAUUGCUAGCUAAUCCCUCCAAGGGGGCCAGCCUCUUUAGAGAGAAAGGGAGAGACAUGUUCUUUCCAAUUUUCUCCAAAAGAAACCCUUAAUGAAUUUAGGCUAUAAAGUCCUUUAUAUAGUCCCUUCAAAUAAGUGACCUAAAGAACCAAAAAGCCAUUCUUUUAACAUGGCCGGCCAAUUGAGGGAUUUGGGCUUUUGGGCCCUUAUGAAUCUUUAUUCAUUAAGUUUUCAUACAACUUAAGUCCAUGGGCUUUGACGUUCGAAGCCCAUUGGGCCUUAAGGUCCAAAACUAUCCCGUGGUCUUCAACGAACUUAUUCGUUUGAUUAAUUAACAUAUUAAUUAAUCCUUGCCAUAAAUAAUUAAACCAUUUAAUUAUUCUUACUCAUCUCCAUUGUUUCUUCAAUCUCCAACUUACACGGUGUACGAUCCAUUAGGUUCCUUUCAACGAGGCAGUGGGCGAUUAAAACCAUUUCAAAUCGAUUGUGAAUUGAAACUUACUUUCAAUUCUCCCUUUAGUGAUUAUACACGUUUAGGGCUUCCACAAACCAUGAGUGACACCUAGCAGCAUAUCAUGGUUACCCAAGCUAAUCAGAAGAGGUGGAGAACCUAUUCAGUUUAGGAUUACAAAUGCAAUACGAUCUUUCUCUAAUACAAUACUCUUGACCACAUUGUUUGGUUUGAUAGUUUAUUCAUGUCUACUAUUGAUGCGCAAAAUAACUUGACACACAAAUUAAACCCUCUUUUUUACAAUUGUAGUAUAGAUGUAAGUAGGGUAUCGUUCUAGGCCGGGGAUUAGGAGGGAUUGCUAAUCUAUUCUAAAUUAAUUUAAAAAUAUUAAACAAGACUCAAGGACUCAAAACUAGGCUAAAAACUCUAAUAACUCGAAACACACUUAAAAUGACUCAAAAUAAUGAAAACAAUCAAAUUAGACACUAGGAAUUGAAAUGGACGGAAAUUGAAUUAAAAGACUAAAAACAAUGAAAACUAACUAAAUAAUAUAAUUUAAUAAUGGAUGGGUGUUUGGUUUUGAUGAAAAGUAAAU
rnacentral:lncRNA from 1 species